AUUGAACGCUGGCGGCAUGCCUUACACAUGCAAGUCGAACGGUAACAGGUCUUCGGAUGCUGACGAGUGGCGAACGGGUGAGUAAUACAUCGGAACGUUCCUAGUAGGGGGGGAUAACUACUCGAAAGAGUGGCUAAUACCGCAUGAGAUCUACGGAUGAAAGCAGGGGAACGCAAGACCUUGUGCUACUAGAGCGGCCGAUGGCAGAUUGGGUAGUUGGUGGGACAAAAGCUUACCAAGCCGACGAUCUGUAGCUGGUCUGAGAGGACGAUCAGCCACACUGGGACUGAGACACGGCCCAGACUCCUACGGGAGGCAGCAGUGGGGAAUUUUGGACAAUGGGCGCAAGCCUGAUCCAGCAAUGCCGCGUGCAGGAUGAAGGCCUUCGGGUUGUAAACUGCUUUUGUACGGAACGAAAAGCCCCGGGUUAAUACCCUGGGGUCAUGACGGUACCGUAAGAAUAAGCACCGGCUAACUACGUGCCAGCCGCCGCAGUAA
rnacentral:rRNA from 1 species